AAGAAAGCAAACCAACAAACUGUUUCUCGGCCCUAUCUUUGUCAGUUUCUUCAUCAUCUCCAUCGUCUUUCCCUUUAGUCUUCAUUUUGAUUUUAUUCAUUCCUUUUCUCAUCUUGAUGUUAUUCCUUAAUUUAUUUUAGACUGUAAAUGGGAUGGAAUGAUUUGGUGCUAUGAAUUGAGAAGGAAGAAAACACCUGGAUUCAUUUUCAUGUGAUUACUGUUUUA
rnacentral:ribozyme from 14 species